GUGUCAGCAGCCGCGGUAAUACGAGUGCCCCAAGCGUUAUCCGGAAUUAUUGGGCGUAAAGGGUGUGUAGGUGGCGAUGUUAGUCUUCUGUCAAAUUCUUCGGCUUAACCGGGGGUCUGCAGGGGAAACGGCAUUGCUCGAGUGUGCAAGGGGUGAAUGGAACUCAUGGAGUAGGGGUGAAAUCCGUUGAUAUCAUGGGGAACACCAAAAGCGAAGGCAAUUCACUGGUGCAUUACUGACACUGAAACACGAAAGCGUGGGUAGCGAACGGGAUUAGAUACCCCUGUAGUCC
rnacentral:rRNA from 1 species